UACGUAGGGAGCAAGCGUUGUCCGGAAUCAUUGGGCGUAAAGCGCGCGUAGGCGGCCCUGUAAGUCCGUUGUGAAAGUCAAAGGCUCAACCUUUGAAAGCCGAUGGAUACUGCAGGGCUAGAGUCCGGAAGAGGCGAGUGGAAUUCCUGGUGUAGCGGUGGAAUGCGCAGAUAUCAGGAGGAACACCAAUAGCGAAGGCAGCUCGCAGGGACGGUACUGACGCUAAGGCGCGAAAGCGUGGGGAGCGAACAGG
rnacentral:rRNA from 1 species